GAUGAACGCUGGCGGCGUGCCUAAUACAUGCAAGUCGAGCGAACAGACGAGGAGCUUGCUCCUCUGACGUUAGCGGCGGACGGGUGAGUAACACGUGGAUAACCUACCUAUAAGACUGGGAUAACUUCGGGAAACCGGAGCUAAUACCGGAUAAUAUAUUGUACCGCAUGGUUCAAUAGUGAAAGACGGUUUUGCUGUCACUUAUAGAUGGAUCCGCGCCGCAUUAGCUAGUUGGUAAGGUAACAGCUUACCAAGGCAACGAUGCGUAGCCGACCUGAGAGGGUGAUCGGCCACACUGGAACUGAGACACGGUCCAGACUCCUACGGGAGGCAGCAGUAGGGAAUCUUCCGCAAUGGGCGAAAGCCUGACGGAGCCACACCGCGUGAGUGAUGAAGGUCUUCGGAUCGUAAAGCUCUGUUAUUAGGGAAGAAAAGAUGUGUAUGUAACUACGCCCGUCUUGACGGUACCUAAUCAGAAAGCCACGGCUAACUACGUG
rnacentral:rRNA from 1 species